CUAAGAAUAUUCCGCAAUGGACGAAAGUCUGACGGAGCGACGCCGCGUGGAUGAAGAAGGCCGAAAGGUUGUAAAAUCCUUUUGUCGGGGAAGAAUAAGCGUGGGAGGGAAUGCCCGCGUGAUGACAUGAACCGGCGAAUAAGCCCCGGCUAACUACGUGCCAGCAGCCGCGGUAACACGUAGGGGGCGAGCGUUGUUCGGAAUUACUGGGCGUAAAGGGCAUGUAGGCGGUUUUGUAAGCCUGGCGUGAAAUUCUGCAGCUUAACUGUAGGACUGCGCUGGGAGCUGCGAGACUGGAGUCACGGAGAGGGAGCCAGAAUUCCAGGUGUAGGGGAGAAAUCUGUAGAUAUCUGGAAGAAUAACAAUGGCGAAGGCAGGCUUCUGGCCGAUGACUGACGCUGAGGUGCGAAAGCGUGGGUAGCAAACAG
rnacentral:rRNA from 1 species